rnacentral:rRNA from 1 species
UGGCGGACGGGUGAGUAACGCGUGGAAAACCUGCCGUAUACUGGGGGAUAACACUUAGAAAUAGGUGCUAAUACCGCAUAAGCGCACAGCUUCGCAUGAAGCGGUGUGAAAAACUCUGGUGGUAUACGAUGGUUCCGCGUCUGAUUAGCUAGUUGGUGGGGUAAUGGCCUACCAAGGCAACGAUCAGUAGCCGGCCUGAGAGGGUGAACGGCCACAUUGGGACUGAGACACGGCCCAAACUCCUACGGAAGGCAGCAG